GCGCCCAACCUCAGUUGUUCACAUUCCCCAUGUGAUCUCCUGUUGCUGCUUCACCUUGGAACUGUCUCGGCUUUGGUGACCUUGUAGGAAACUGGAACCCCAGCACCAUUGUUUGGCUCCUGGAAGCCUUGGGGAGAGGAAUUUCCCACAGGGCAGGGCCUGGGUCCUGAUUCCCUGCCUCUUUACUCCCUAUUCAUCCCGGCUACACCCUUGGGCCCCCAUCCUUGCUUGGCUCCAGUAGUGGCUGGCACAGCUGUUGUGGUCAGCCAGGGAUGGCAGGGCACUGGGGAGCAGAAGAGGAGAGGUCACACAGUGCGGAACUGGGAGCAGGAGCUAGGACAAGGAAGGCUGGACUUGGGCCAUGGAUUCCCUUCCUGCAGACUUGGGAGACAGGGGCACUAUCCACAAGGUGGUGGAACCGGGGGAGCAGGAGCACAGCUUCGCCUUCAACAUCAUGGAGAUCCAGCCCUUCCGCCGCGCGGCUGCCAUCCAGACCAUGUCGCUGGAUGCUGAGCGGAGGAAGCUGUAUGUGAGCUCCCAGUGGGAGGUGAGCCAGGUGCCCCUGGACCUGUGUGAGGUCUAUGGCGGGGGCUGCCACGGUUGCCUCAUGUCCCGAGACCCCUACUGCGGCUGGGACCAAGGCCGCUGCAUCUCCAUCUACAGCUCCGAACGGUCAGUGCUGCAAUCCAUUAAUCCAGCCGAGCCACACAAGGAG
rnacentral:lncRNA from 1 species